rnacentral:misc_RNA from 1 species
GUAUUGUAUUGCGUUAAACGCGACAUGCAUUCCAUAAGACUUUGUUACAGUGUGUGUGUAAAAACAUAGGACCACAGCAAGGGGACAGUGUCCCCCAGGCCAUAGAACUACAGAGGGUGCACAGGUGUGAGUGGAUGUGUAAACAGAGCGUGCACGUGCCCCCCUUCGAGGGCCAGCAACAACUCGUGUCGACAAUUCGGUAAUGAUCCUUCCGCAGGUUCACCUACGGAAA